CAGCUCCCUUCUCUCUCCUCCGUUCCGGUCAGCUCCCCUGUCAGUUCCAGUGUAAAUCUCGCGAGAGCCGCGGGGAAUGGAGCUGACCGGAACGGAGGAGAGAGAAGGGAGCG